CAACGGAUCUCUUGGUUCUGGCAUCGAUGAAGAACGCAGCGAAAUGCGAUAAGUAGUGUGAAUUGCAGAAUUCAGUGAAUCAUCGAAUCUUUGAACGCACAUUGCGCCCUUUGGUAUUCCAAAGGGCAUGCCUGUUCGAGCGUCAUUUGUACCCUCAAGCUUUGCUUGGUGUUGGGCGUCUUUUUGUCUCCCCUUGCGGGAGACUCGCCUUAAAGUCAUUGGCAGCCGGCCUACUGGUUUCGGAGCGCAGCACAAGUCGCGCUCUCUUCCAGCCCCAAGGUCUAGCAUCCACCAAGCCUUUUUUUUCAACUUUUGACCUCGG
rnacentral:rRNA from 1 species